AGUGGCAUGGGAGAACUUCAGCUAAGGUGAGCUGUAGGGAAUGUGCACUCUGAAAUACUUCAACAGCUUCUGUGAGCCACGCAGAUGAAGAAGUGGCAGAGAUGUACUCUCUGCUGCACGCCCACUCUUAAUGGAUGGAGCGUUGAUAAUUCUCUGGCUAACUCAAAGCUUAAAAAUAAAUGUCUGGUAGACAUCAUCUCGAUGUUGCAACAUAUGUCUUUCCAGCAUAUGCUGAAGAAAAGGUAUUUAAAACACUGCCAUAGCAGCCAAGGAGAAGCACAAGAAUUGUGCUGAGACCUGGAUGACCCCUGUGCUCCCUGGUGAGUCCUCAGCUGAUCAACCCCUUCUGGAGGAGCUGCCAAGAGGAGCCAUCUGCACAGGGUCUUGGAGUGACAGCCUCACCGACCCCAGAAACUCCAAUUUUCUGCUGCUCAAAAUUGCUGGUAGCAGACAACUGAGUUGCAACUACACCAGCAUGAAACUGCCGUUGCAUCACCGGCUUGCAGACGCUGUUACAAAACCAAGGCAAGAUGAAGCUCUGGGAGGUUCACGAGUGUUUCAACAUAACCCGAACAGAGUUAAAAGGAAACCUGGGCUAAGUCUGGAGAUUUCUGAAUCUGACUGCGGACAGCUUAAGAGUCAGUUGUGUCAACCCCGAGCGUAGCAAACCCCGUCAGCCUUUAGUUGAUAUACACUGGAUGUUCGGUAUCAAAGAUCUUCACUGUAUUUUUAGGUUCAUUCGAACCUAAAAGUUCGAAGCAAAAGACAGCUUAGGGGAGACAAGCCCGCAUAUGUGGAAUACAAAAAGAUACCAAAAAAAAAACAAACCAACAACUUGCAUGAAGCCUUUGCGAAUGCAAACUGCAAGCCAUGGUUUGCUGAGUUUAAAUCCAACGGUAGUCACCAGUUAUCUGCAGUUCUGAUAAAUAUUCAUGUAUCAUAUGUUCAUAUCUGACUGCAGGAAAAGAAAAAGGAUUCAGAGAGCUUUGUCUGCCCUAUGAGCUUUUUAUCUGUGCUCUAGUAACUUCCUUAUACUUAGUAAAUAGGAACAUUGCUUUGUUCAGGCUUUAACACUUUUAAUAUCCUUGCAGAUUCAGCAAACCUUUGUUCUAAAAUGCUUUGUGCCCAUUAGGGCUUUUGAUUAUAGAUUACACCACCAUUUGAUUUAUUUAUUUUUUUCUCAUGGGCAACAUAUUCUCCUUUCAUUGAGCAAUAUUCAGAAACUUGGAAAUCUAACCUGUGUUUUAGUCUCAGGACAGGCACAUUCUUAUGGUAAAAGCCUCCCCAGUUGAACUUGGGAUGCAUUCAACUCUUGUAUGGUUGAUACUUGGCCAGGUUAAUUAUGCAAUCACCCCAAGUAGGAGAGGACAGCAGGAUAUGCAAGCAUUUUUCAAAGACUUGUUUUUAGUACAGAGACAGCUUUCUGGAAUCAAAUAAAGAAAAUGGAGAACGCCUGUGAUUUACAGUGAACUGGCACUCUGAAAAUGCUGGGAUUUAAAAGAUCAGUAAGGCCAAAUUUGCAACCAUUUAGAGAAUGAUUACAGCAUGUAUCUACAUAUCCAAGCUAGCUUUAAUCGAGCUACCUCGGGUACCAACAGCAGAAUAGCUGUGGCAGCAGCAGGCUUCAGUGUGAGCUGCACAAGCCUGUGGGGGACCCUCGGUGUCUUCUUAGGUAACUGGCUCAAACUGAAGUCUGUGCUGAUGUGGCUGCACUGCUGCUGGCCUUCCUGCAAGCUUUCCUGCCAAGGGCAGCAUGGUUGACAGGGUGGAGGAUGUAAGGAAACCCAGUAGAGAAAAUAAAACCUUUUUGUUGCAAUGGCUCAUUAUGAUUUGGGGUCUUAGUUCCUUU
rnacentral:lncRNA from 1 species